rnacentral:rRNA from 1 species
UUUUCACACAAACAUACUUAUAGUUUAGAAUGUCAUUCAUUUGCGAUCACACGCAAUCAAUACAACUUUCAACAAUGGAUCUCUUGGCUCUCGCAUCGAUGAAGAACGCAGCGAAAUGCGAUACGUAAUGUGAAUUGCAGAAUUCAGUGAAUCAUCGAAUCUUUGAACGCACCUUGCGCCCCUUGGCAUUCCGAGGGGCACACCCGUUUGAGUGUCGUGAAAUUCUCAAACCUUCUUGGUUUCUUGACCAAGUUGGCUUUGGACUUUGGAGGUUGCUGGCUUUGCAAAAAGCCAGCUCCUCUUAAAUACAUUAGUAGGGUCUCCUUUGCCGAUCCCCAGGCGUGAUAAGUCGCUUCUACGUCUUGGGAUUUGCUCUGUUCCUUGAGAACCUGCUUCCAACCGUCUCAUUAAAGACAUCGUUCGAGCUUGCUCGACCCACGAACCUUGACCUCAAAUCGGGUGAGACUACUCGCUGAACUUAAGCAUAUCAAUAAGCGGAGGAAAAGAAACUAACAAGGAUUCCCCUAGUAACUGCGAGUGAAGCGGGAAAAGCUCAAAUUUAAAAUCUGGUGGCCUCUGGUCACCCGAGUUGUAAUUUAGAGAAGCGUCU